CAAGUCUCCGGUUAUAUCCACCUGCUUAACAGAUGGGCCGCUGGAGAUACUACAAAGCUAGGGCGUGGGAGAGGCGGACGGUAUUCGGGGGGUAGGGGUAAAAUCCUCUGAUCCUCCGAGGACCACCAGUGGCGAAGGCGGUCUGCCAGAACACGUUCGACGGUGAGGGAUGAAAGCUGGGGGAGCAAACCGGAUUAGAUACCCGGGUAGUCCCAGCUGUAAACGAUGCAAACUCGGUGAUGCAUUGGCUUAUGGCCAAUGCAGUGCCGCAGGGAAGCCGUUAAGUUUGCCGCCUGGGAAGUACGGACGCAAGUCUGAAACUUAAAG
rnacentral:rRNA from 1 species